UUGCUUCCGUGAUGGUCCACAAUUACCUACAUUGUUGGAUCCUCAUGAAAACAGCACUGGCUGAAAAAAAA
ensembl:snoRNA SNORD34 Small nucleolar RNA SNORD34